rnacentral:rRNA from 1 species
UUAAGCGACUAAGCGUACACGGUGGAUGCCCUGGCAGUCAGAGGCGAUGAAGGACGUGCUAAUCUGCGAAAAGCGUCGGUAAGGUGAUAUGAACCGUUAUARCCGGCGAUGUCCGAAUGGGGAAACCCAGUGUGAUUCGUCACACUAUCGUUAACUGAAUACAUAGGUUAACGAGGCGAACCGGGGGAACUGAAACAUCUAAGUACCCCGAGGAAAAGAAAUCAACCGAGAUUCCCCCAGUAGCGGCGAGCGAACGGGGAGCAGCCCAGAGUCUGAAUCAGCUUGUGUGUUAGUGGAACGGUCUGGAAAGUCCGACGGUACAGGGUGAUAGUCCCGUACACCAAAAUGCACAGGYUGUGAACUCGAAGAGUAGGGCGGGACACGUGGUAUCCUGUCUGAAUAUGGGGGGACCAUCCUCCAAGGCUAAAUACUCCUGACUGACCGAUAGUGAACCAGUACCGUGAGGGAAAGGCGAAAAGAACCCCGGCGAGGGGAGUGAAAAAGAACCUGAAACCGUGUACGUACAAGCAGUGGGAGCACCUUCGGGUGUGACUGCGUACCUUUUGUAUAAUGGGUCAGCGACUUAUAUUCUGUAGCAAGGUUAACCGUAUAGGGGAGCCGCAGGGAAACCGAGUCUUAACUGGGCGUUAAGUUGCAGGGUAUAGACCCGAAACCCGGUGAUCUAGCCAUGGGCAGGUUGAAGGUUGGGUAACACUAACUGGAGGACCGAACCGACUAAUGUUGAAAAAUUAGCGGAUGACUUGUGGCUGGGGGUGAAAGGCCAAUCAAACCGGGAGAUAGCUGGUUCUCCCCGAAAGCUAUUUAGGUAGCGCCUCGUGAACUCAUCUUCGGGGGUAGAGCACUGUUUCGGCUAGGGGGUCAUCCCGACUUACCAACCCGAUGCAAACUACGAAUACCGAAGAAUGUUAUCACGGGAGACACACGGCGGGUGCUAACGUCCGUCGUGAAGAGGGAAACAACCCAGACCGCCAGCUAAGGUCCCAAAGUCAUGGUUAAGUGGGAAACGAUGUGGGAAGGCACAGACAGCCAGGAUGUUGGCUUAGAAGCAGCCAUCAUUUAAAGAAAGCGUAAUAGCUCACUGGUCGAGUCGGCCUGCGCGGAAGAUGUAACGGGGCUAAACCAUGCACCGAAGCUGCGGCAGCGACACUAUGUGUUGUUGGGUAGGGGAGCGUUCUGUAAGCCUGCGAAGGUGWSCUGUGAGGSWUGCUGGAGGUAUCAGAAGUGCGAAUGCUGACAUAAGUAACGAUAAAGCGGGUGAAAAGCCCGCUCGCCGGAAGACCAAGGGUUCCUGUCCAACGUUAAUCGGGGCAGGGUGAGUCGACCCCUAAGGCGAGGCCGAAAGGCGUAGUCGAUGGGAAACAGGUUAAUAUUCCUGUACUUGGUGUUACUGCGAAGGGGGGACGGAGAAGGCUAUGUUAGCCGGGCGACGGUUGUCCCGGUUUAAGCAUGUAGGCUGRUUGUCCAGGCAAAUCCGGAUAAUCAAGGCUGAGGUGUGAUGACGAGGCACUACGGUGCUGAAGUAACAAAUGCCCUGCUUCCAGGAAAAGCCUCUAAGCAUCAGGUAACAUYAAAUCGUACCCCAAACCGACACAGGUGGUCAGGUAGAGAAUACCAAGGCGCUUGAGAGAACUCGGGUGAAGGAACUAGGCAAAAUGGUGCCGUAACUUCGGGAGAAGGCACGCUGGUGUGUAGGUGAAGUCCCUGCGGAUGGAGCUGAGACCAGUCGAAGAUACCAGCUGGCUGCAACUGUUUAUUAAAAACACAGCACUGUGCAAACACGAAAGUGGACGUAUACGGUGUGACGCCUGCCCGGUGCCGGAAGGUUAAUUGAUGGGGUUAUCCGUAAGGAGAAGCUCUUGAUCGAAGCCCCGGUAAACGGCGGCCGUAACUAUAACGGUCCUAAGGUAGCGAAAUUCCUUGUCGGGUAAGUUCCGACCUGCACGAAUGGCGUAAUGAUGGCCAGGCUGUCUCCACCCGAGACUCAGUGAAAUUGAACUCGCUGUGAAGAUGCAGUGUACCCGCGGCAAGACGGAAAGACCCCGUGAACCUUUACUAUAGCUUGACACUGAACAUUGAGCCUUGAUGUGUAGGAUAGGUGGGAGGCUUUGAAGCGUGGACGCCAGUCUGCGUGGAGCCAACCUUGAAAUACCACCCUUUAAUGUUUGAUGUUCUAACGUUGGCCCCUGACCGGGGUUGCGGACAGUGUCUGGUGGGUAGUUUGACUGGGGCGGUCUCCUCCCAAAGCGUAACGGAGGAGCACGAAGGUUAGCUAAUCCUGGUCGGACAUCAGGAGGUUAGUGCAAUGGCAUAAGCUAGCUUGACUGCGAGCGUGACGGCGCGAGCAGGUGCGAAAGCAGGUCAUAGUGAUCCGGUGGUUCUGAAUGGAAGGGCCAUCGCUCAACGGAUAAAAGGUACUCCGGGGAUAACAGGCUGAUACCGCCCAAGAGUUCAUAUCGACGGCGGUGUUUGGCACCUCGAUGUCGGCUCAUCACAUCCUGGGGCUGAAGUAGGUCCCAAGGGUAUGGCUGUUCGCCAUUUAAAGUGGUACGCGAGCUGGGUUUAGAACGUCGUGAGACAGUUCGGUCCCUAUCUGCCGUGGGCGCUGGAGAAUUGAGGGGGGCUGCUCCUAGUACGAGAGGACCGGAGUGGACGCAUCACUGGUGUUCGGGUUGUCAUGCCAAUGGCACUGCCCGGUAGCUAAAUGCGGAAGAGAUAAGUGCUGAAAGCAUCUAAGCACGAAACUUGCCCCGAGAUGAGUUCUCCCUGAGACUUUAAGUCUCCUGAAGGAACGUUGAAGACGACGACGUUGAUAGGCCGGGUGUGUAAGCGCAGCGAUGCGUUGAGCUAACCGGUACUAAUGAACCGUGAGGCUUAACCU